GACACCAAUGGUGACAAAGAGGAAAAACAAAUGAGCGUGAACUUGGCGUACGUGACUGUCGUUACCGGUGUAAUGGCUCGCGUGUGGUUUCAGCCAGUAGAGGUUUGAAAUAUGACACCGCUUAGUGUGGCAGUGUGCGACCUUGAGCGAACAGGUUAAACUGGUGGAUAUCUUGUUAAAAGUAACGUAAUAGCCACAACAUAACUCCAUGCUUCCUUGAUCAUUACAAAUAUGUAAAUAGAUAGGAGUGUAAGACCACGAAACAAUAUCGUAUACAGCGAUAACCUAGUCGUACAUCGCGUGUGAUCGUUUGUGAAAUUAACCAUUUUAGUUGUCGAAAAAACGUGUAAGUGUUAAGGCUUGUGCCUGGAUUAUUAGUGUUUUACAGUUCAUUUGGUUCAAAAAUAGUGUUGUGUUUUAGUCUGUGUCUCAAAAUGCCACUGACUGUGUCGAAAUUAAAGAAGGAAAAAUGUUCUUCACCUCAACGAGAAUCGAAUUCCAGCUGCUUGCAAUGUAUGCAAAUAUACUACCAACUUAACAAUCGCUGAUAAUAUUUAUUCAGUUACUUCUAAACCACUUAGAUUUUAAAAUACUACGAAAAUUGUUGUCUUCUGGGAUGCUGCACCGUGUAGCCUGGUAGAAAUUGACCGUCGUUUCAGAGGAUGCCCUGAUGACGGAGACACUUCACCCCAACUUUCCUGCGUAUGUUAAGAUGUGACUGAGUACACACACGAUCAUGUCGUCGUAUAUAUUGGUCUUUCGACAGCACUGGACUUCCAGACACAACGUGAUCUGUCGUCUCAUCAGAUUCUUCGAUCUUCCUGUAUCGCCAUAGAGAGACUUACAGCCAGCAAUCAGCAUUCAGGAAGCUAUUUAACACUGCACCUAUUCGUAUUGAUUCCACGGGUCACAUCUCACACAUGCUUACGUAACUACAAAUGAAUGUAUGAUGUGUUUGUAUGACACUGUAUGUACGAGCGUAUACGUGUGUAUGUAAUGCAUUUACGUACGAAGCCAAAUGGUAUCUAAAUGAUAGUUGAGCGAUUGUAGUUUCUUGGACAACGCUUUCGAUGACACACAUUUAAUGAGGACUAUUGUAAUGAAGAUUUAUUAAUUAUGAAAAGUUCAUAAAUUUAUUUCAGACAUAACACAUAAUUUACGGAGAAGUUACCUUGUAUUUUAUCCGGAUCCAUAACUAACUAACUAACUAACUAGAUGGCUUACCGAACCCGAAGGUUCAUCACCGAACUAACCAAAGCCCUCCACCGGACCCUGUCCUGGGCCAACAAAAUCCAGUC